rnacentral:rRNA from 1 species
GGGGGGGGGGGGGGGGGGGGGUGGGGGGGGGGGGGGGGGGGGGGGGGGGGGGCUUGCGGCGGGGGUCAGCGGGGGACGGGGGAGGGAUGCCUAGGAAUCUGCCUGGGAGUGGGGGAGAACGUCCGGAAACGGGCGCUGAUACCGCAUACGUCCUGAGGGGGAAAGUGGGGGAUCUUCGGACCUCACGCUAUCAGAUGAGCCUAGGUCGGAUUAGCUAGUUGGUGGGGUAAAGGCCUACCAAGGCGACGAUCCGUAACUGGUCUGAGAGGAUGAUCAGUCACACUGGAACUGAGGCACGGUCCAGACUCCUACGGGAGGCAGCAGUGGGGAAUAUUGGACAAUGGGCGAAGGCCUGAUCCAGCCGUGCCGCGUGUGUGAAGAAGGUCUUCGGAUUGUAAAGCACUUUAAGUUGGGAGGAAGGGCAGUAAGUUAAUACCUUGCUGUUUUGGCGUUACCAACAGAAUAAGCUCCGGCUAACUUCGUG